UUCCCAACAGACGUUCUUUUGUAUCUAUUGUGUUCAAAGUUUCCAGAUGGACAAGCCAUGCAGUUGCAGGCACUCCCUUGUUCACAUGGUAUUGACUAACAGUUCUAUGGUUACGUUCGGUUGAAAGAGAUACUGAAUUAUGUGGUCCCCAACUGUGUGGUCAUAAACAUUUUAGUACUGGGACCUGCCUCAAUGAGGAAGAAAAUUAAAAUGACUUCUGCAGUCAACUUGCUAAGCUAUCAUCCAUUGCUUCUGAUGCAGAGACCUUCUGUGGACAUCAACCCGCCUGGGCAUAUAGGACUGGAUUCAUCUUUUCCCAUUGAGGCUAGACAAGACAUUUCAGAAUCUGACGUAGUAAAAGUAAGAGCGGGAGACUGCAAUCAAUCGUUUCCUAACUUCGAUGAACUCAGAAGCGGAUAGCUUCCACAAAAUGCGAAAGAAAAGACAGAUUUUACAGUUCCCAUCAGACUGUGUAACUCCCCUGACAAACUGUCCCAAUGGCUUUGCACUGCUCUGAGAGAUAAAUAAUAAAUACCCACCAUUGCUAGCCCGACAAAACCUUUUACUAUUAAA
rnacentral:sRNA from 1 species